GCUUCUGUUUGCAAUGGAGCAAGGCACUGAAACCUUAAGAGUGAAGAACCUUAACACACUUAGUCCUUCAGUAAGUGGUGAAAGUCCUGCAUCAACUUCUGUCUCACAGAGACAAACAAAAAAAGGAAGACCGAAGAGAGGUGGAUGAAGACGGAUGUUCUGACCUCUUGUCCCCUCAGAAAGCAGCUGAACAAUGCAGUGAGGAUGGGGGUUCAGAUGUAGUAG